rnacentral:rRNA from 1 species
UACGGAGGUGGCGAGCGUUACUCGGAAUCAUUGGGUGUAAAGGGCAGGUAGGCGGUCUGUUAAGUGAGGGUGAAAUCUCCCGGCUCAAUCGGGAAACUGCCUUUCAACUGGACAGACUUGAGUGUGAUAGGGGAGGCGGAAUUAGCAGUGUAAGGGUGAAAUCUGUAGAUAUUGCUAAGAACACCAGCGGCGAAGGCGGCCUCCUGGAUCACAACUGACGCUGAUCUGCGAAAGCUAGGGGAGCAAACAGAA